AAUUAACAAGUUCUAGCUCCUAGAGUUCAAAUCUUAGGUUUCCAAGCACUAAAAGGCCUGAAGUUCAGUUAGUUAAAGGUUUCAGAGGGUCUGGUGCUAUUUCAAGUGCAAAUUGGAUCAUUCUAGCUUGGUUUGUGUGAAAUUAUUUCCUGGACUAAUCGACACUAUUUGUUGAACUGUGAAUUUUCUUUGAGCUGUUGUUGGUUGUUGAUUGUUGCUGCUGACUUCUACCUUUUCUUACUUUGCUUCAAUCUCCAGGUACUUGAUCCUGUAAAGUUGCUUGAUUGUCCCAGAAUUUGUGAAAUGAAAUGGAAACCAGAGAUGAAGUUUAUGCAUCAUUCUAAUUUGAAAUUCUGUUUAUUAGCUUUCUAAAUCUAUUUGUCUAGGGUAGUAUAUAAGCAUAUUUUGAUGUUAACUAUUGUGAGAAGCUG
rnacentral:lncRNA from 1 species